UUUAGCAUGGAAUAAUAGAAUAGGACUUUGGUUCUAUUUUGUUGGUUUCUAGGACCGAAGUAAUGAUUAAUAGGGAUAGUUGGGGCCAUUAGUAUUUAAUUGUCAGAGGUGAAAUCCUUGGAUUUAUGAAAGACUAACUUCUGCGAAAGCAUUUGGCAAGGAUGUUUUCAUUAAUCAAGAACGAAAGUUAGGGGAUCGAAGACGAUCAGAUACCGUCGUAGUCUUAACCAUAAACUAUGCCGACUAGGGAUCAGCAGAUGUUACUUUUAUGACUCUGUUGGCACCUUAUGAGAAAUCAAAGUCUUUGGGUUCCGGGGGGAGUAUGGUCGCAAGGCUGAAACUUAAAGGAAUUGACGGAAGGGCACCACCAGGAGUGGAGCCUGCGGCUUAAUUUGACUCAACACGGGGAAACUCACCAGGUCCAGACAUAGUAAGGAUUGACAGAUUGAGAGCUCUUUCUUGAUUCUAUGGGUGGUGGUGCAUGGCCGUUCUUGGUUGGUGGAGUGAUUUGUCUGCUUAAUUGCGAUAACGAACGAGACCUUAACCUGCUAAAUAGUUAGGCUAACCUUCAUGGUUGGUCGUCAACUUCUUAGAGGGACUAUCAAAGCUAAUUUGAUGGAAGUUUGAGGCAAUAACAGGUCUGUGAUGCCCUUAGAUGUUCUGGGCCGCACGCGCGCUACACUGACGAAGGCAACGAGUUUAUAACCUUGGCCGGAAGGUCUGGGUAAUCUUUUGAAACUUCGUCGUGCUGGGGAUAGAGCAUUGCAAUA
rnacentral:rRNA from 1 species